GGGCGGGGUGGGGAGGGGCCGGGCGACCGGGCUCCCACCCCGCUGCAGGCCCCGCCCACCAGCCCGGGUCCACCCGCGAGGCGCGGGGCACAGGCUUGGCAGAUGCACACGAGGAAGAGGAAGGGAUCCUCGCAAGCUUUGAAAGGCGCCGUCAAGUCAAAUAAAUAAAUGCCCUACAACACCAACCCAGGACUGAGAUCUGCAUGCUGGAAUGACGGUGGUGGUGGUGGCUUUCAGUAUUCCCCAGGUUUUGUCCGGAGCACCGGCACGCCCUCUCUUGAAGUCCGCUCUCCGCACAGGUGAGUUAAAAGCACUUCAGCAGCAAAUCCAGUUUGAGGGUCUUCUUUACCCUUCUCCCCAGGGAUAAACAACACAAAACCAAGUCAUCUUUACGCAAAUAACUAGUUUCUUUCAGAGACUACUAAGAAAGCGUUAAUUUCCUCUUUUUAACUUGAUUAGUGGUUAGACGGGAAGAUCCGGAGCUGUCCAGUGUCUUGGGUAAUGCACGGCAUCGCCUGAUGUCUGACGCUAGAACACCACGUAAAGUCAAGCAGAGGGAAGUGAAUGCGCCCUAGGCCCCUGCAGGCCACCAAGAAGAGCUAGAGGGAGUUGGUGCAAUCCUAGAGAUGCCGGCAGGUGCACCAAUCUGUGGCACACGUACGCUCUCCAAUGGAAGACAACUCAAGACCACACCAAGUUUGUAUUAAAAAAGUACUGUUGUGUUACUUUUUACCAACCUCCAAUCAUUAUACAAAAUGUUAAAAAAUACACAAACACACACACACACUCACAGCCAUAGAGGUUAUCGCAAAAGAUCAACCCAGAAUCUUUCAGAAUAUGACAGAUGCACUGAGAAGGCAGAUAAAUUGAUUCAAUAUACAAAAGGCCUCUUUCCUAUGGAAUUUCAUUAGAUUAAAUAAGGUGUUCCCUCCUCACAGCCUCAUCCUUAUGAGCAAUCAUAUAAAUAAUCUAUUUAAAGUCCUUGAACUAUAACUUGUAUAAUUUUUAGUUUUCCCCCUUUGAAGGGGCCUAAGAGAAAGGUUUGAGAAACCAGCUCUUGAGGGGGGCAGGGGUGAGGGGUAAGAGGUCCUGUGCCUUUCAUUCAUCCUGGGAGCUUCUCAGGAUUGCAGCAUUUCCACCUGAGUGUUCAUUCUUGUACAUUUUCUCAUCUUUCUCCUGGGUUCCUAGGAUCUUGGAGAUUACCUAGUCCAAUCCUUUUACUUCAGAAACAAAAAACCUGAGGCUCAGAAAGGCUAAGUCAAAUGCCUAGGGUCACACAGGGAAACUGUGGGAGUUGGAUCCCUGAGUCCCAGUCCUUAAACUGGUUGCUACAUGACAUUCUAGAACCUCUCCCCACCAACUCCCUUUUUAAAGACAGGGUCUGGUUCUGUCACCCAGGCUGAAGUGCAGUGACAUGAUCUUGGCUCACUGCAACCUCCGCUUCCUGGGCUCAAGCCAUUCUCCCACCUCAGCCUCCCAAGUAGCUGGGACAACAGGCACAUGCCACUACGCCCAGUUAAUUUUUCUAAUUUUGUUUUGUAGAGACAGAUUUGCCAUGUUGCCCAGGCUGGUCUCGAAUUACUGGCCUCAAGCGAUACGCCUGUUUAGGCAUCCCAAAGUGCUGGGGUUACCGGCAGGAGCAAUUGCUCCGGGCCAGACUUCCCUUCCCCCGCCCACACCCCCCCAACCCGGCCUAGAUCCACAGGCACUGUAAUCACAGCUGACACACUCGACUCGGAAUCAGCAUAGAGAGCACUCUGAAAAUUGUCAAAUAGGGUCCCUGAAACUUGUAUACCAUACUUCUCCUGAAGAUCUUGAAGCAUCUUUGUGUUUGCUUUUUUUUUUUUUAACUUAAAAUAUGGCAUUCAGGUUUUAUCCCUCUCCCCGACGCCAUGUUUCCUUUCUGUAUUAGUCACACACGUGAUCCUAAAGUCUGUCUUCCCCACUUUAACUGGGGAGGGCUGGACAAGGUGGAAUUCCAAUUGCAGGAGACAGGAUGUGACAUGGGUGAGGUGCCCAAGGCUCACCGACUGAAACUUCGAUGGCUCUUCCCUGUUUCCUUGUGCAGGGCCCCCCUUCUCUCCACUGCUCACCUGGCUCUCCUCCUCCCUUCCUGCCUGCUUUGCAGCUCUUGCUACUAUUUUCCUUUUCUUUCCCUGCUCCCACCCUGGCCCAAUUUAUUUCACAGAAAUAUCACAGGGCCAGCCAGGCACAGCGGCUCACCCCUGUAAUCCCAGCACUUUACGAGGCUGAGGAGGGCAGAUCACUUGAGGUCAGGAGUUCGAGACUAGCCUGGCCAACAUGGUGAAACAUUUCUACUAAAAGUACAAAAAAUGAGCCAGGUAUGGUGGUGUGUGCUUGUAAUCCCAGCUACUCUGGAGGCUGAGGUGGGAGAAUCGCUUGAACCUGGAAGGUGGAGGUUGCAGUGAGCGAAGAUCGCACCACUGCACUCUAGCCUAGGUGACAGAGUGAAAC
rnacentral:lncRNA from 1 species